rnacentral:lncRNA from 1 species
GACCAGUGAGCUGAGAUAAGACGGAGCUUUACCUAGCAAAGACUUAUAGACGACCUGGAGCCAGUGGGUUUGGCGACGAAUAUGUAGCCAGGACCAGCCAACGAGAGCAUAUAGGUCGCAGUGGUGGGUAGUAUAUGGGGCUUUGGUGACAAAACGGAUGGCACCGUGAUAGACUGCAUCCAAUUUGCUGAGUAGAGUGUUGGAGGCUAUUUUGUAAAUGACAUCGCCGAAGUCAAGGAUCGGUAGGAUAGUCAGUUUUACGAGGGUAUGUUUGGCAGCAUGAGUGAAGGAGGCUUUGUUGCGAAAUAGGAAGCCGAUUCUAGAUUUAAAUUUGGAUUGGAGAUGCUCAAUGUGAGUCUGGAAGGAGAGUUUAGUCUAACCAGACACCUAGGUAUUUGUAGUUGUCCACAUAUUCUAAGUCAGAAGCGUCCAGAGUUGUGAUGCUAGUCGGGCGGGCGGGUGCGGGCAGCGAUUGGUUGAAGAUCAUGCAUUUAGUUUUACUAGCAUUUAAGAGCAGUUGGAGUUGAAGGAGUGUUGUAUGGCGUUGAAGCUCGUUUGGAGGUUUGUUAACACAGUGUCCAAAGAAGGGCCAGAUGAAUAUAGAAUGGUGCCGUCUGCGUAGAGGUGGAUCAAAGAAUCACCUGCAGCAAGAGCGACAUCAUUGAUAUAUACAGAGAAAAGAGUCGGCCUGAGAAUUGAACCCUGUGGCACCCCCAUAGACUGCCAGAGGUCCGGACAACAGGCCCUCCGAUUUGACACACUGAACUCUAUCUGAGAAGUAGUUAGUGAACCAGGGGAGGCAGUCAUUAGAGAAACCAAGGCUGUUGAGUCUGCCGAUAAGUAUACGGUGAUUGACGGAGUCGACAGCCUUGGCCAGGUCGAUGAAUACGGCUGCACAGUACUGUCUUUUAUCGAUGGUGGUUAUGAUAUCGUUUAGGACCUUGAGCGUGGCUGAGGUGCACCCGUGACCAGCUCGGAAACCAGAUUGCAUAGCGGAGAAGGUGUCCUGGAGAGCAGGUAGUUUGCCCCCGGUGAUGCGUUGUGCAGACCUCACUACCCUCUGGAGAGCCUUCCGGUUAUGGGCGGAGCAGCUGCCGUACCAGGCGGUGAUACAGCCCGACAGGAUGCUCUCGAUUGUGCAUCUGUAAAAUUUUGUGAGUGUUUUUGGUGACAAGCCAAUUUCUUCAGCCUCCUGAGGUUGAAGAGGCGCUGCUGUGCCUUCUUCACCACGCUGUCUGUGUGGGUGGACCAUUUCAGUUUGUCCGUGAUGUGUACACCGAGGAACAUAAACUCUCCACCCUCUCCACUACUGUCCCGUCAAUGUAGAUAGGGGGCUGCUCCCUCUGCUGUUUCCUGAAGUCCACGAUCAUCUCCUUUGUUUUGUUGAUAUUGAGUGUGAGGUUAUUUUCCUGACACCACACUCCGAGGGCCCUCACCUCCUCCCUGUAGGCCGUCACUACAGACACCCUGGUUCGAAUCCAGGCUGUAUCACACCCGGCCGUGAUUGGGAGUCCCAUAGGACGGCGCAAAAUUGGCCCAGCGUUGGCCGGGAUAGGCCGUCAUUAUAAAUAAGAAUUUGAUCUUAUCUGACUUGUCUAGUUAAAUAAAGGUUAAAUAAAAAAUAAAUAAAUCAAUGUUUCAGAUGGAGUAUCUUAGAUCGAUCUCAUACAGUCUCAAAUCUGUAAUACAGAUAAGAUUCUUCUUUGAUAAUAGAUAAGAAAUGGGAGGAGCAGACACUUUAUUCCCUCUCUGUCUGCACACAAUGAGAUUUCAAGUCUUGC